UCAGAGGCUGAUAGGCUCAUCCCACCAGGGUGAGGGGGCAAGACAGGAGACACCGAAAAGGGGACAGGAGAGAUUUUCAUGUGCUACUCUCUGAUAUAACCUCUCAGAAAUAACCGUUGAGCAGCCAGAGGUCAGGCUAUGCAUGAGGCUGGUUCACAGGGCUCAGAUCAAACAUAAUGGACGCUCUGGAAAGUACAAGGCAAUAGUAAACAACCUGAGUAACUGUCUAGGGAAAUGGGGCAGAGCUCCCAGAAGGGCCACUUGAGCCAGAUCCUGACGUAUGCAUAGGAGCUCACUGGUUUUUAAGAGCACAAUUGUAGUUCAGGGUAAUGAAUCCUCAGUUGGAAAUCAGGGAAUAAAGUAAAAUCAUGGGUGUGACGGAGGGUCCUCUCCACCUUAAACUACAGGGCUGGCUGCAGAUGAGCUCAAUAAAGUUGCCAUUUCUACAUGGUGGUGUGGAGACGGAACCAUGGGUGUGAACAGUACUAGCUUUGCUGCCCAGCGGGCACAGUUAGGAGGCCCGGGCUGGCCUUAAAGUCAUGACAGUCUUGCCUCAGCCUCCAGUGUGCUGGGACGAGCGUCGUGUGUCACCUCAACAGUGUAUUCUGUAUUACUGCUAACCCACAGUUGUGGGAGCAGGCAUCUCAGAGCUACCCAGCAUCUCAGAAGGUGACGAAGGAGGUGCCAACUACGACCAAUGGGGCUUAUCUUAAGACUCCCUUGGGGACAAAUAUGCCUGCAGGAGUCCUCGCAUUCUGCUAAAGUGCUCACGGCUCCAGAUGUGCACUGUGGCCUCAGGGCCUUUGCACUGUCUUCCCUUCUGAGCAGCCUCCUUUCCCCAGACGCCUUCAGAACCUACUUCAGGACUUCUUUCUGUUCACCUCCCAGACUCAGGACAGAUCCCCCUUUCACUCUGGAAGGCUGGACAAGAGAGACCCAGAAUCUCUAGAAAACGGGACUGGAUUUCACCCCACAGCCUCAAAACUUGUUUUCGGAAAACUCAAAACACGUCAAGCAAUGACCCA